UCGUGUAUAACUACCACCCGCAACCCCCUUCCAACUCCAAACUCUUUAUUGAUGCCGUUUUACUGUGCUGCGUUGGUUAACGGUUCGGUUUCGUCAAAAUUUAUUUUUCCUGAAUCUCUUAUUAGGUUACUUUAAUUUUAGAACUGACGAAUGAUAGCUAAGACUAAUAUGUAACAGGUCUCGUGUGACGAAUGUAGUAUGGAAGUAGUUUAAAUUGAUCAGAUAAAGUAGCUAUCUUACGUUACCUGCUAGCUUGUCUUUCGACGCCUACAUGAUUUGUUGCCUCAGCUUUUUUUUUUGCGAUUGUUGCUUUUACUCGAGUACUGAAUUGCUUACGAUUCGUAUGCAAUAAGAUUAACAUUAUAGCUAUAAGAAACGAUCAAGCUGACGUGUCCAUUAUGAAAGCCACAACAAGGUUAUCGUUAGGUGGCAGGGUAUUGUUAUUAUCAUCGUCAGUUACGUAGUUUAACACAAAAGAAUGCUUAUUUCAGCUGAGUUGGCAUCUCUACGCUAAGUAACAGCGAAAAUGUCACAUUUGUUAAUAACUACGGUACCUAGUCAAGAAGGCUUUACCAAACAAAAUGCGCGUGUUGUGGCGCAGUUGUAGGCCUGAUAAAAAAAAUCGCGGCGUGUCACGAUGUAGUGGAGAAAUGGCUGCCCGGGUGAUUCAGUACUGGUGCAGCUAUCUGAAGUUAAAAAAAAAAUGAAGAUCAUGAAAGAAUCAGGUUGUAUAAGUGUCAUUGAAAGAACCAAGUUACAAGACCAGAACCUUAUGAAAGGAGUGAAGCCGUUCGAAUAGCCAGCUAAAUAUUUGAAUAGAAGUUGAGCGUAGGUCCCACACAUCCGAGGCAGUAUAGCUACUUCGAUGCGUAUAGUAUUUUGUUAACCUAAAAUGAAGACUAGUUUACAAGAGGAGAAUUUUGAAUCCUUGGGAAUGGGCAGUAAAAUAUACCACUUACAAGACGAGCAUCAUAUGAAGAAAUGAGAAUGGCUAGCUAAAUAUUUGAAGAUCAAGUUGAACGUAUGUCCCUUAAACUGCCUCGGAUAUAUCUACUUCAAUGCGUUAGAAGUGUUUAUUUUAGUUGGUUGCGCAUCAGGAAAUACAAUUUAUAGUGGGUAAGGAACCAAGGAAAAAUGACUUUGGUUUUAUGUAAACUGAAUAAGUGCUGGUAGUUUGUCUCAUCAGUGUAGGCAACAUGUGAAAUAACCAAGUUACUGAUCUUGAACCAUAUGAGAAGUUGUGAAGCCUCUUGAAUAGCCAACUGCAUAUUGGAAGUUGGGCUGCAGUUGCUUUUGAGUAAUUUUUAUAUAUUUUUGUAGCCUGAAGUGAAGUACAAUAUGUGCUUAAGUUGUGAGACCUUACUUCAAUAGCAAACUAAAUAUUGGAAGAUAAUUUAGGCCAACAGUGGCUGUUUGUCAGUCAUUUAAGCUGCUUCAAGAAGUAAAAAUGUUUUGAGCCUAAAAUGAACAAGAUGUGCUGCGGAUUUCAUUUCCAAGUACAGCAGUUGCUUUGAUAGCACUAGCGGUAGUUCAAGGAGUUGCAGGCUAGUGACGUUGCUUUGUCACGCUUCAGAUCUGAUAAACUUUUUCUAAACACAAUUGGCUCUAGUUGGUGAAGAAAAGAAGAUUUUUCUGUAGAAGAAUGGACUGAGUUUGAGUUUUUUUUUAAAGUGCUGUGGGGGCACUUAGCUAGUAGGCAGUUUGUGAUCAGACGAGGAAGGACGACUUCAGGAUCAGGCAAGGACCAGGCAGAGGGAAUCUGGGCGGACCAGGCAGAGGGAAUCUGGGCGGACCAGGCAGAGGGAAUCUGGGCGGACCAGGCAGAGGGAAUCUGGGAGGACCAGCGGGGAGCCAGGCAGGAUCCAGGUGGAUCGCGGGAGGAGCAGAUGGGAACCAGUUGAGCGAGCGGAAUGCAGCAGAGUUUUCAUCAAAGGGAGCGAGCCAGGUGGCAGGGUAGCGAGCAUCCCAGAGUGAGCUGAGAGCGGAGCAGUCCCAGGUCGAGUGUUGCCCUAAAGCAGCCAGUGGGUCCCAGCAGCAAUGAGGUGACGAGUAAAAGGGCCAACUAGCUUCGCAAGUGACAAGUGUUUGUAUGAUGGGUAGCGGUAUACAGUAAUGUUUAACUAGGCCAAAAAUCUUUGAAAUUAGUCAAUGUUAAAUCUGUCAACACAUUUGCUCGCGAAGUUUUCUUCCUCUUUCAGGCAAUGGUAAAGUGUUAAUUUUCCUGGUUGCGGCCCUUUCCUGUGUGAUGUCUGCUGUGAUGAGUCCCCCUUGGCCUACUUGGUAGAGUGCACUGGCGAGAGGACUGUCUUAAAGGAUUUCACCCUCCUGCAGCGCAGAUGUAGUACCCCCCCUGGGCGGAGGCGUUUCUUCUUCAUUGAGUUCAAUAGGUCUACCCCCGAGAAGUGGUCUACAUGGGAGUGUUGAGAGUCGAAAUUCUUCUGUACGUUCGUACCACAACGCAGCUUUGGUGCUGAGCAGCUACAUCUGCUGGUUAAAGUGAGCAGUGAGUUUAAAUGCAUGAGAUGAUCUUGUGGGGAGUAACUAUUCCCCUCAAUAAAUAUUGAUAUCAAAUUUCUAUUUGCCUUUGUAAUGGUAACUGAAAGGGAUUAUCCCUGCAUUUAAUUUGUAGUAUUGGUUAAACUGUGGUGCAUUUGUGGAUGGUGGGGGGGAGACUUUUUCCGAGUUCUUCUUUUCACAGGCUCGCACCUUAAAGCAAACCUGACCAUCCAAGGGAGUCCCUCUUUAGUACUGCCCGCCACAUUAAUCAAAACGGUUGAGCACGUCCCGUAACAGAUAAUUCUAAGGAUGGAUCAAGGGAAACCUCUGGUGUUAAAAUCAUGUAGGAAGGUAUUUUGUGCUGGUUUUCUGUAGUGAGUUGAUCAUUUGCAUAUACUGUUUUUCUUCCAAUAUGUUGUAGGGAUACACACUUGAGUUCUGGGAGGGUUGUGGGGGUGUUAAUCAAAUAUUUUCCUAGAAUUUCUUUUCACACAGCUUCGUGUAAAGCAGCGUUUUAAAGAUCCAAAUGGCUAGCGUUGAGGUUUGAGGAGCAAGGAAUCAACCCGGUGGUCCACAUCUUUCAGGUUUCCUUUUGCCUUGUGGUGUGGAUAUUCCUUGGUGUCUACAAUGGUGUAGCAGGAGGCGGGCCACAUUUUGGGAUGUGAACUUGCGGUGUUCUCCCAGGGAGUGUGGUAACCCUUAACUUUUAGGCUGAUGCAUUUUAUAUCCUGGAGUUGAAAUUUGCAUUUGGUUUCUGGGGUCAGGGGAGAGCUUAACUGUGACUCUUCCAGAUUAUGACCCACCCCUCAAUGAAAGAAACUGGAGAUCUACAUCUCCCUCGUCUUAAGGAGAACAGCUGAUGCCUUGAGGCCAGUGGUAUUUAACUGUUUCUUGUGGAAAGUUAUUGAUUUGGUGUUAGUGAAUUUGUGUUAAUUGUAUUUUAGCAACUGUUAAUACAAUUUUGAUAGUGGGUUGGUUACUGUCUGGGUUUGUAUGGGUGGGAAUGGUGGAAGUCUUGUUUUCCCUUUUGCGUUUUCCAGUGUGCUGUGUCCUACUGCGCUUUCAAUACUGAAGAUCAACAGGAACGCCCCUAACGCAUUGUAUGACUUAGCUUGGUGCUUUUAGAUCACGGAAGUGACCUGGGCCUGAUGGCAGCUCUUACAAGGUGGAAAGUGAAGGUUUCAGAUAAGUUCAAUCCAGCUUGUAUCAUGUCCAAAAGUGGGAAAAUUCAUGACAUGCCGCCUGGUUGUCUGAAUGGGCCCCAUUGCUGCCUCAGUUGAUUGGUCUUCAAUAGAGACGCAUCUACUUAGCAAUACGACUCUGCCACUACUUGUGGUAUGUAGAAGUUGCACUGCUGUGCUUUCACUGAGUGCAAAUCUCUUCUGGUGGAGACUUUUCAACUCAAAAUGUUAUGCUAAUUAUAAAGCAUAUUUUGUCUACGGGUAACAAAUGUCAGUGCUGUGAGGGUGGGUAUAGGGCUGUUUGUUUUUGAUCUUUCAGAAUUACAAAAGCCCAAAUGAAGACUGCCUUCUACCCGUGACAUGACCACAGGAAUCGCCCCUCCUUUGAACUCCUCUACACAGGCAGGACAGUUUGAACACCUUCAUUACAUUAGACCAUUUCUAGUUUGCUUUUGGCUCUCAGCUACCUGCACUUGUGCAACUGUGCAAGCAGUCUUGUAUCGUAGUAGCCUUUCAUUCCUCUUCAACUGUAUAGCAUAUUUGGUUUUCCUUUGUAGCUGUCGUGCAACUGUGACAGCGUUCCCAAAUUAAGGUAGCUGAGGAACACUGCGCAACUGUGCAGCUGUAAUUUGGACUGCAAUUGUUUUGCUUUUGGAUUGGUAGAUGAGGGUUGGGAGGAGAAUUCUGCACUUUUUCUCUACAGAAAUCUGAGUGCGUCUUGGUGAAGCACGAAUGAAGUCUUCUAACCUGCCGCACGUAGUAAGGUGUUGGUGUACCUUUUCAGUCUUCAUUUCAUAUCAAACUCCAGACCCCUGCCAUGUUUUAGUUUGGUUCAAUGGACAUCUUCAACUGGCUUCCUGUUAACCUCCUAUCGUUAAUAACCAUCAUCAAGCCAUGCUUUUACCAGCAUAUGCCCCUUUCUUUGGCUCAGAGCCCUACUGCUUUGCAUCUUUAAAGUAAGUUGAGUAAAAUGUAUGUUGUGAGUACUGUGGUGGUUUGUGUAGAAACCUUUGUUUCAGAUCAUUAUCUUGUAUCACUGUCCGCUGACUGCGCCUCCAUCUGAAUGUAACGCCGUCGCAGGAAACUCGACAAAUGAAUGUGGCCCCUGAAUGAAGUAUCUACCCUCUGCGCUUGAGCUUAGUCAAACCUCUCCACUCGACGGUCUUCAGUCUCUUCUCUCUCUGUGCUGUCUGUGCUCCUUUCCUUUCCCCCUUUUGGUUUCUCAGGUGACAAUUUCUCAUCCGACGUAAAAUUGUCAUGAAUUGGCAUUCGUUAUCUGCCUCUAACUGCGUGAUGGAACACUGAGAACCCAGUCACUUUCAGAUCAAGAGCCACAAGCUUGUCUUGCUGAAAAUUGAGCAUCACUUCAGUUUCUUGGUUACUAAGUUAAGUCAUUUUGGUUCCCUUUUGCUUUUGAACACACCAUGGCUAUGUUUUAACACAACCUUUUGACUCUGCAUGCAUAUCAGCUCUGCAUAACAUUUUGAAUUUCAAAAUGCGCAACAUAACUUUCAUAUAGUUAAUGUGUAAAAUAGGCACAUACCAGUAGGUGUUGGGAGGGUGGGGGCAACACUUUCUUCCUUCCUUUCAGGUAUCUCUUGAGUGAACUUGUCGUUACUGGGUGCUUGCAGCUGCAGGGAGUCACGGGAAGUGUCUUGGUUUGAUCCAGUUCUAGGAAGUUGAGAGCAUCAGUGUAGAGAAACUGGUUGGUUGUGGUUUGUACUGUUUCUGUCAGUCACAGUAAAUUACAUCUUAAAAUAUUUUCUAUUUCAGGGAUAUGUUUUGGGGGGGGGGUGUAAUUGUUCCUCUUUUGUCUUUACAGCUUCAAAUCUAAGAGCUCAAUCCUUGCAAGUUUGACUGACCUCUGGACCAAUGUCAGUGAUAAGAUCUACACUUACGUUGUGAAUUUGUCUUACUGUUAUCAUGGAUGAAAUGUAGUAAUGUGGAAUUGCUCUAAUGGCAUUAAGUGUCUUCCUGGGGUUUGCUGGGGAUGGGGGGAAACAAGUUGUCUUUUCCUCUAGUUUCAGGCUUGCGACGAUGCUAAAGUCCUCAGGUUCGUGUAGAGCAGCAGGUGCUAAGGGUUUUUCUUUUCCUGGGGGAACAAACCCUCUGGUUUUUGUUCUUCCAGGUUUUGCUUUUUGUCCUUGCGCAAAAAAAGCAAAAGACUCCGGUGGUGGCACUCCUGAUAGUCCUCAGGACGGGGUUCAAUUCCCUGCGGCGUCUUUGCUUUUCUCAACCUGCUGCUUAGUUGGGUAAGCUAGUUAAAACAGGAACCUAGGUAGUUAAAAUAAUUUAUAGGGUCAUAUUGCGAUUUUUAAAUGACGCGAGCAGAGCUCAGCUUCUUAUUAGCUAGCUAACAUUAGCUUUAUUAUAUCUAUAUAGUGUUAGGUGUACUGUUUUGAAAUAACAUUCUUUAUAUUGAUUUGAUUGUAUACAUAGUCUUAGCAAGCUCUUUGGCAGCAAGCUAAGCAUUUUUAGCUAUAAUAUUUAGCUAGCUUGCUUUGCAAAUGUUAGCCUAGUUAGCUAGCUAGCAUCAAGUGUUGGUGAUAGAAAAAUGGCCGUAGAAGCAACUCGAGCUUAGUUUAGAAGACUUGACUUUUCAAUUCAUUUUGAGGCACCUGUAGAACAAGGAGCUAGUUAGCAAAGAUUUUUUCUGUGCCCUUGGUGUACAACAAACUCCCUCACGACGCCAGGACAGCGGAGUCAAUCAUCACCUUCCAGAGACACCUGAAACCCCACCUCUUUAAGGAAUACCUGGGAUAGGUAUAUAGAUGUACUAUUGUAAAGUGGUUGUUCCACUGGAUAUCAUAAGGUGAAUGCACCAAUUUGUAAGUCGCUCUGGAUAAGAGCGUCUGCUAAAUGACGUAAAUGUACAUCAUUGAAGUGUAUCGUCUUAAAUUGACAGUUGCCAUAGUUAUUGAGGCUUUUUAGUAUGCGCCCCUUGUGGGAACACAACCAAAUAUUAACUGUUCCAAAAAUGUUUCUACUUAGGCUUGCUUGCCAACCCAUAAAUGUUAGUUAGAAGAAACUGGUUUCUAAUGGAAUUUAUUUUGUUUAGUCUAUUGGUUGAGACAUGACUUGUAGUUCAGGAGAUGAGUUUAAUUUACUUUAAGUUAUGAAUAAAAUCUAUGAACUGUA